UGAGGUUGUAGAUAGCUCACAGCAAGCAAACAGAGAAACCGGUUUUCCCGACAGCCAGGAACUGCUUCUCACCCUGGACCUGGAGCCAGUACCCCCCGAACCCACCCAAGGCUGCCUCCUGGACCCAGCAGGCGGAGAAGGGACCUCCGCUGCAUGUGUUUCAAUGAUCACAGGAUCUUCUCCUUCCCAGAGGCUAGUGAAGCUUAGAAAGAAAAAAAAAAACGCACUCGCGAUGAAAUGUUCUCUGAGCUCAUGCUGUCCUCCCACACUGACAGAGCACAGACGAAUGCGUGGAGGCAAAUAACGUCAGAGUGCAGGAAAGCACAAAAUGACCGGGAGGAGAGGUGGCGGGCUGAAGAGAGUAAGUGGCGGGCUGAAGACAGGGCUGAAGCUCAAAUGUGGUGGCAGCAUGAUGAGAGGAGGCAGGAUUCAAUGCUGAGGCUGCUGGAGGACCAAACCAGUAUGCUCCAGUGUAUGGUUGAGCUGCAGCAAAGGCAGCUGGAGCACAGACUGCCACUACAGCCCCUGUGUAACCAACUGCCCUCCUCCCCAAGUUCCAUAGCCUCCACACCCAGACGCCCAAGAACGCGGUGGGGGGGGGGCACCGGCCAACCAGCCACUCCGCCACAGAGGAUUGCCCAAAAAAAAGAAGGCUGGCAUUCAAUAAAGUUUAAAGUUGUAAACUUUUAAAGUGCUGUGUGGCAUUUUCCUUCCCUCCUCCACCACCCCUCCUGGGCUACCUUGGUAGUCAUCCCCCUAUUUGUGUGAUGAAUGAAUAAAGAAUGCAUGAAUGUGAAGCAACAAUGA